CACAACGGAAAGCAAGGCAGCCUU
rnacentral:siRNA from 1 species